AAAUCUUCAAAUUGAAGGGUGGAAUGAAGUCCAAAUUCACAACCGAACAUGAAUUAACGAUCACCUUCACAAGGGGAUCAUAAGGAAUCAUGUCAAGAUGGAUGGGAGCUUUGGAGGCUAACGGGCUAUGGAAACUCAAUCAAGUAAGCGAACGAGAAUACGGACGCGCAAGGCUAUACAUGUUUGGAUGUUUCAUCUAGAAGCGUACGCGGUUGAAGAUCGUGUCAAGACACUGAUUGUAUGUGGGUGUAUACGUAGUCACUUAAUUGAGUCAUGUAUGUUAGUUUUUGCAUUAAAUUAUAAAAGAGAUUAAUGUAUUUAAAUGAAAGAAAGAAUAUCAUGAAGGAAAUUUCUAGUUA